rnacentral:rRNA from 1 species
UGGUUCAGGACAACAUUGGGAAACCGAUGCUAAUACUGGAUAAGCCCUUACGGGGAAAGUUUUAAUGCCAUAAGAUGAGCCCGCAUUUGAUUAGUUAGUUGGUGAGGUAAUGGCUCACCAAGACAAUGAUCAAUAGCUGAUCUGAGAGGAUGAUCAGCCACACUGGGACUGAGACACGGCCCAGACUCCUACGGGAGGCAGCAGUGGGGAAUCUUGCACAAUGGAGGAAACUCUGAUGCAGCGAUGCCGCGUGAGUGAAGAAGGCCUUUGGGUUGUAAAGCUCUUUUGUAGGGGAAGAUAAUGACUGUACCCUAAGAAUAAGGUCCGGCUAACUUCGUGCCAGCAGCCGCGGUAAUACGAAGGGACCUAGCGUAGUUCGGAAUUACUGGGCGUAAAGCGCGCGUAGGCCGUUGAGUUAGUUAAUUGUGAAAUCCCAAAGCUUAACUUUGGAACUGCAAUUAAAACUGCUCGACUAGAGUUUGAUAGAGGAAAGCGGAAUACAUAGUGUAGAGGUGAAAUUCGUAGAUAUUAUGUAGAACACCAGUUGCGAAGGCGGCUUUCUGGGUCAACACUGACGCUGAGGCGCGAAAGUAUGGGUAGCAAAGAGGAUUAGAUACCCUCGUAGUCCAUACCAUAAACGAUGAUUGCUAGAUGUUGGAAAUUUAUUUUCAGUAUCGCAGCUAACGCAUUAAGCAAUCCGCCUGGGGAGUACGACCGCAAGGUUAAAACUCAAAUGAAUUGACGGGGACCCGCACAAGCGGUGGAGCAUGUGGUUUAAUUCGAAGAUACGCGCAGAACCUUACCAACCCUUGACAUGUCUGUCGCGAGUUUAGGAAACUAGACUUUUCGGUUCGGCCGGACAGAACACAGGUGCUGCAUGGCUGUCGUCAGCUCGUGUCGUGAGAUGUUGGGUUAAGUCCCGCAACGAGCGCAACCCCUACUUUUAGUUGCCAUCAGGUCAUGCUGGGCACUCUGAAAGAACUGCCAGUGAUAAGCUGGAGGAAGGUGGGGAUGACGUCAAGUCCUCAUGGCCCUUACGGGUUGGGCUACACACGUCAUACAAUGGCUGGUACAGAGGGUUGCCAACCCGCGAGGGGGAGCCAAUCCCAUAAAACCAGUCGUAGUCCGGAUCGCAGUCUGCAACUCGACUGCGUGAAGUCGGAAUCGCUAGUAAUCGCGGAUCAGAAUGUCGCGGUGAAUACGUUCCCGGGUCUUGUACACACCGCCCGUCACACCAUGGGAGCGGGUUCUGCCAGAAGUAGUUAGCUUAACCGCAAGGAGGGCGAUUACCACGGCAGGGUUCGUGACUGGGGUGAAGUCGUAACAAGGUAGCCG